AUUCCUAUAGAGAUAUUUCAGUCUGGACAACUUUUGUUUUGUUUCUGUUGCUUGAUAAAUAGAGUUGCUUGAUAAAUCCACUCAUAAACUGUUCUGUUUUUCCCCUUAUUUAUUACAUCCACUGCAGUUCUAAGGCAACUUCCAGGUAGUAAAAGUGGAAAUAUCAGAAUUUAUGAGAUGAUGCAGACCCCCAGAGUGCAUGAUCAUUUUUGUUUCUGUAAGGCAAGGGAUACGAGGAGGCGUGGGUUAAAGUUUCAGGAGGCCCCACGUCUACCUUGAAACUUCCUAUGUUUAGUCGCGUAAUCACCUUUUUUCUUUCAUUACGGUUGUGUUUUUGAGUUUCCAUCACUAAUUUACAAUAUGAAUUUCUUACACAUGUCUUAUGAGAACUUGAAUUAUACAAAAGGAACAUUUCUAACCAGCAUAUCUUCUGUUUCCCUCCCCCCUUCUGUCCUAUCUUCUUCCUCCUCCUCAAACCUCCCCUUCUCCAGGGAUGAGGUCACCAUGUCAGGAAAGAUGGCGUGAUUAUGAGUCCACAAUUUUCUUAGCUGGUCAGAUGAGGACAGCACACAGACAGCAGGAGGAGAGGGGGGACAGCUCAGCCUCUUGUAGCUGCGGUGCAAAAUGCAAGAUGCAGCCAGACAGUAGCGACAGCCAGCAGAGGAACCUCCACUGGAGAGAAACGGGAGGAAAUGAGAGAAGGUAGUGGAAGACAGAGUGACAACAGUGAGCAGAAAGCUCCUUUAUCAGCAGGUGAGAGUCUCCUUCAUCUUGACACCUUGGAUCCAGUAUUCCCUUUUUCUAUGUUCAAGUGAGAGGACCACAAAAUAAUUUGCAUUGAUGACUACGUCUCGUAUUGUGUAUUUCAUAACGAAUAAAAUAAUAAGACACA